CGCGGCCUAUCAGCUUGUUGGUGAGGUAACGGCUCACCAAGGCUUCGACGGGUAGCUGGUCUGAGAGGACGAUCAGCCACACUGGGACUGAGACACGGCCCAGACUCCUGCGGGAGGCAGCAGUGGGGAAUCUUGCGCAAUGGGCGAAAGCCUGACGCAGCCACGCCGCGUGGGGGACGAAGGCCCUCGGGUUGUAAACCCCUUUCAGCAGGGACGAAACUGACGGUACCUGCAGAAGAGGCUCCGGCCAACUACGUGCCAGCAGCCGCGGUAAUACGUAGGGGACAAGCGUUGUCCGGAUUCAUUGGGCGUAAAGAGCUCGUAGGCGGUUCAGUAAGUUGGGUGUGAAAGCUCCGGGCUCAACCCGGAGAGGCCACUCAAUACUGCUGUGACUAGAGUCCAGUAGAGGAGCGUGGAACUCCUGGUGUAGCGGUGAAAUGCGCAGAUAUCAGGAAGAACACCGGCAGCGAAGGCGGCGCUCUGGGCUGGUACUGACGCUGAGGAGCGAAAGCAUGGGUAGCAAACAGGAUUAGAUACCCCGGUAGUCCAUGCCGUAAACGUUGGGCACUAGGUGUGGGGAGGAAUCAACCCUCUCCGUGCCGUAGCUAACGCAUUAAGUGCCCCGCCUGGGGAGUACGG
rnacentral:rRNA from 1 species